rnacentral:rRNA from 1 species
CGCCUCUUGCAAAUCACAGCAUAAGAGGUCCCGCCUGCCCCGUGAUCAAUGAUUUAACGGCCGCGGUAUUUUGACCGUGCAAAGGUAGCGCAAUCACUUGUCUUAUAAAUGAAGACCUGUAUGAAUGGCAUAACGAGGGCCUAACUGUCUCCCCUUUCUAGUCAAUGAAAUUGAUCCCUCCGUGCAGAAGCGGGGAUAAACCCAUAAGACGAGAAGACCCUGUGGAGCUUUAGACGUAAGAACAGACCCUGUCAAAAACCCUAAAUUAAAAGCUCAAACUAAUCGGCCCCUGUUCAGAUGUCUUUGGUUGGGGCGACCGCGGGGUAACAAUCAACCCCCACGUAGAGAAAGGGAACUCCCCUUAGAAGCAAGAGCCUCCCCUCUAACUAACAGAAUUUCUGACUAAAAAUGAUCCGGCGUAGCCGAUCAACGGACCCAGUUACCCCAGGGAUAACAGCGCAAUCCUCUUUCAGAGCCCCUAUCGACAAGAGGGUUUACGACCUCGAUGUUGGAUCAGGACAUCCUAAUGGUGCAGCCGCUAUUAAGGGUUCGUUUGUUCAACGAUUAAAGUCCU